rnacentral:misc_RNA from 1 species
UUUUAACUAGAUAGCAACUUUCAGCAGUGGAUGUCUAGGCUCGCACAUCGAUGAAGAACGCUGCGAACUGCGAUACGUAAUGCGAAUUGCAGGAUUCAGUGAGUCAUCGAAAUUUUGAACGCAUAUUGCACUUCCGGGUUAGUCCUGGGAGUAUGCCUGUAUCAGUGUCCGUACAUCAAACUUGGCUUUCUUCCUUCCGUGUAGUCGGUGGAGGAUGUGCCAGAUGUGAAGUGUCUUGCAGGUGUCCUUCGGGUCGUCUGCGAGUCCUUUGAAAUGUACUGAACUGUACUUCUCUUUGCUCGAAAAGCGUGGCGUUGCUGGUUGUGGAGGCUGCCUGCGUGGCCAGUCGGCGACCGGUUUGUCUGCUGCGGCGUUUAAUGGAGGAGUGUUCGAUUCGCGGUAUGGUUGGCUUCGGCUGAACAGGCGCUUAUUGUAUGCUUUUCCUGCUGUGGCGUGAUGGACUGGUGAACCGUAGCUGUGUGUGGCUUGGCUUUUGAAUCGGCUUUGCUGUUGCGAAGUAGAGUGGCGGCUCCGGCUGUCGAGGGUCGAUCCAUUUGGGAACUUUGUGUGCACCUCGGUGCGCAUCUCAAUUGGACCUGAUAUCAGGCAA